GAUCAUGGCUCAGAUUGAACGCUGGCGGCAUGCUUUACACAUGCAAGGUCGAACGGCAGCAUGGGGGCAACCCUGAUGGCGAGUGGCGAACGGGUGAGUAAUAUAUCGGAACGUACCCGAGAGUGGGGGACAACCAGUCGAAAGAUUGGCUAAUACCGCAUACGAUCUACGGAUGAAAGUGGGGGACCUUCGGGCCUCACGCUCCUGGAGCGGCCGAUAGCUGAUUAGCUAGUUGGUGGGG
rnacentral:rRNA from 1 species